UAAAACAAAGCAAGUUCAAAGUCUUACUAAAAUUCAUACAGAGGAGUUUUUAUGCAUAUAUUUUCAUUUACAUGGCUGUUGAAGAGAUUGGCCAUCGGCCAUGGUGAAAAUAUAGCAAAUGUUUUAUUCAUUGCUUUUACAUUUACAGAGAUGUUUAUUUGGUGCUGAGCCCCCAAAGGGACACAGGAAAAAAUAUUUUCUGGAGAAAGUUUUGCACAUAUAACUUGUGGUUGAACGUUUAUUUAUUUUUUCCCCAUCUCCCACUAGGGGUUCCGUGGUUUGAUGCCUUGGACCGUUACUUUUGUUUUACAGACAGGUAAAAACAACACAAUUUUGACAAUUUGUCAAAACAUGAUUUGUUUGUUUGUUCUUUAGAGGAUUAGGUUGGACACUGUAAAACCACUAUAGGUGUGAAUGUGAGCGUGAAUGGUUGUCUCUAUAUGCAAUGGACUGGGAGAAUUUUCCAGUGCGUACCCGGCCCUCACACAUUGGCAGCUGAGAUUCACUUCAUUGCCCACUGUGACCCUUUAAAGGAAUAAGCGGUAGAUAAUGGAUGGAUGGAACCAAAAAUAUAUUUUCUUUUUCAGAGACCAAUAAUGAUUGACACUCUCCUUUAGUACUUUUCUUAAAUAGUAAACAGACAGAACUAGCCUUGUUGUUCAU